UUCCGAUGCAGAGAGCUUCACGCGUUCGCAUCGAACGAACGCCCGCCGUGCGGACUGUUCGGAAACCGGUUCGCUACGUGUUUAAGUUAUUUUGUGAACUGAAACUUAACUAGUGCGUGUACAUUUCGUGAAGUGAAUUUUGUGAAUUACUUUAAAGUGUUUGUGACGUGUUAAAUUAAGAUACAUUUGCUGCGAUUUGUGGAAUAACCAGUUUUUGAACUUGCGUCAAUUAAGCUGACUGCUCGUUGUCAUAAACUAAAAGUUGACACAGACCGCUGGGCUUACAAUGUCGUAAGGUAUACAUGUUGACAUGAGAGGAUGAGCCAUGGAAUCACGCAGUGCGCCGCCGAGCCCCGACGAGUCUGGGGAGGCGGUGUUCAACUCUCGUUGUCUACAAUAUUCUCAUCAAACGCCUCUGCAGAGGACCUUUGCGAGCUGCAGAGAAAACACAAGGCCCCGACCUCAUCAUCGACAUGCAGUGUCAGAACCGGCUCGCCCGGAUGAAAGAGUUUUCACUACGGCCGAAGUACACGACUAUCCCUCAUCAGAAUCGGGCAUUGCGGCAGACUGUCCACAUGCCCAUAGUAGCAAUGCUGACGAUAGCCCUUGUUAUGAUCGCUCAGAUUAUGAAGGUAAUUCCAGCUACAGUCUGAGACAUAACUUUAAUCACACAAGUGACUGUAAUAAGCAUCGUUCUGAAUUUCAUCGGAGUCAUACACCAGACUAUCAUGAGCAUGGCUCAGAUAGUGAUAGAGGACAUCCCUGUAGUCAAACAACUCGCAGACCGCAUAGAAAACACAGGCGAGAAGAAGACGAUGGUGCGCAAUCUCUCGAUGAGCGAUGUGCACGUGAUCUUGAUGAAAUUUUACCCGCCCGACUCGCCGGUAUAAAUUUAUUACGUGAUCAACCAUCGCAAUCAUGGAACCGUAGCAAUAUUGCUGCUACUAUGGAGCGAUUUGAGCCCGUCGAUUAUUCAUACGCCUAUUAUGACCAUCAUUUAUCAAUGCCAUCGUCGUCGAGAAAAGCGAAUCGACAGCGUGGACGCGGCUUACCGAGAGAGCGAUCCGCUCGCCAUAAUUACGUAACACGAUAUGGUACAGAGGAAAAUAUUUACGAAGAAAUUACAGAUGGUUCAAGAACAUGUCCAAAACAUAGACACGCUCCAAGACAAUCUCUUAUUUCUCUUGACAGAAGUGUUGUCGAGGAAGAAGUACGUCGAGUAGAAUCAAGACAUAAAAGAAUAUUAGGGGAGUUAAACUUAAGUGUAGAAGCUAUGCUUAUGCCUGAAUGCGAGUCACCUGACUCAGAAAGAGCUGAAGAUAGAGACAAUAUAGAGGAACUAUUGAGAGUGGGGCCUACGGAUGAACUACUAUCACCAGCAAGUUGUAAUCCUCCAGAUUUAGACAGCGGUUUUAGUGGAAGUAGUAGUGGUGCUAGUUAUGUAGGUAGCUUGCGAAGGAAACCCACUGGCUCUGUUCCCCAUUUACCUGCUGUGGCCUAUGGAACCCGCGGAGCAGGAGUUCGGAUUUUGGGCGCUGACGAUUGUCAAUUACGAUGCCCUAGAGAAAUUCCUUCACCUCGUAGCUCAAGUUGUGGUGACGCAAAGUCAACAGGCUUUUGGAAUAAGAAAGCAUGGAAAAAGAUAUCUGGUUUUUCAAGUUCUAACAGCAUUAACAAAGCCGGCCUUACUGGUCUGCUCGUUAGGUACACUUUCCGGCGUAAAUCCGGAUCGCAGGGCUCUCAAGGCAAGCGAAGACCUGAGCCCGUCAAAUGCGAUGCGUGCCUCUCCCAACGAUGUUAGCCGGUCAAUGAUGAAGCCUGUAGGCCAAGCAGAGCUAAAUCCAGAACAGCUAUACCUUACAGCUACUCAAACGGAAAACUGGUGGUGCCGUUGGAUUCCCUAGCACAGAGUUGAAUAACAUUUGGAUUCAAAAACU